rnacentral:rRNA from 1 species
AUUUUUUAAAUUGCUGUGGUAUUUUGACUAUACAAAGGUAUUGUAAUAAGACUUUAAUUGAGUGCUAAAAGAAUGGAAUUACAAAAAAAGGCUUUUUUAAUUUUAAAAAUUAAAAUUAUUUUUUUUUGUGAAGAAACAAAAAUUUAAAUUAAAGACAAGAAGACCCUAAGAAUUUUUUUUUUUAUUAAAAUAAUAUUUUAUUUUAAAAAUUUACUUGAGACGAUUAAUUAAUAUUAAAAACUUUAUUAAUAAAAAAAAUGAUCCAUUAUUAAUGAUUAUUUGAUUAAAAUACUCUAGGGAUAACAGCGUAAUAAUUUUUGAUAGUUCUUAUAGAAAAAAUAGUUUGCGACCUCGAUGUUGGAUUAGGAUUGUUUUUUAAUGAAGAAGUUAAAAAAAGAAGUUUGUUCAACUUUUAAAUUCCUACUUGAUCUGAGUUCAGACAUCCCUGA